AUGGAGUCUGUGCUGGGCUGGGUUUUCCUUGUUGCUAUUUUAAAAUGUGCCCAGUGUGAGGUGCAGCUGGUGGAGUCCGGGGGAGGCCUGAGUCAGCCUGGGGGGUCUCUGAGACUCUCCUGUGCAGCCUCUGGGUUCACCUUCAGUAGCUACUGGAUGCAGUGGAUCCGCCAGGCUCCAGGGCAGGGGCUGUACUGGGUUGGACGAAUUAACCCUAAUAGUAGUACUAAGAACUACGGAGACUCCGUCAAAGAUCGAUUCACCAUCUCCAGAGACAACACCAAGAACAUGCUGUAUCUGCAAAUGGACAGUCGGAAAGUCGAGGACACUGCCGUGUAUUACUGUGCAAGAGAAACAGUGAGUGGAAGUCAGUGUGAUCCCAGACACAAACCACCCCUGCAGGCAUAUGGCCGGGCAGCAGGGGGCCCUCCAGACCCACCAAACUCAGUAUUCAGACCCAAGAGCAGGUGCAGAUGA